rnacentral:lncRNA from 1 species
UUUGCCAAGUUACUCCCGUGGAAAGGUUAGUGUAGCCAACAAUGGCCACUCUCAUCACCCCACCCCCUUGGAGGGCAGCUGGGCCAAGCCAGGAGUCUACUUUAGAAGGAUUUAAUAAUCUUCUUUUUUUUCCUGAGGAGGUUCAGGUUCCUAACCCACCUACCAAAUAGCCCGAAUAUCAACCGUCACAAUACAAAUGAUUACAACAGUCUGCAUAAACGCUGACUGCAGUAGUGCACUUCAAAGCACUCCAUUGCUUGCAUGCUAUAACUUCAUAAAAAAAAAAUUUAAAAAAAGUUUAAAAAGGCAGCAGGUCACCACCUAAGACAAGGGCUUUGCCAGCGGUGCAGAAACCUUCCUCCAGACAAAAAAAAAAGGGGGGGGGGGAAACACAGCUGAUCCCUCCUCCGGGGUCCAGCCUUAUCGGUUGGUUCUCGAGGAUGGGUGAGCCGGCGAGUCCUCCAGGGAAACUUCCCAGGCUCUUCUCCGGGAAGUUCUCCCUCCCUGCGAGGUAGCGCAGUUUUGUUUUCUCUCCCACCUGCGUUCUGUGUUUAGGCGUACAGCCUCCCAACCCACAGCGGUCGAGUUCACAACCCUCCUCUGACUCUCCUCCCACCUCUGCGAUCUGGGGCAGCCUCCCGCGGCGGCCGCACCGCUGGCCAGCCGAGUCAACUCACUGUCAGGCUUUCAGUCUACACGGGUAAGCAAGUUUCAUUCCUAAAAGGGGAGGGACUAGGCAGGGCACAGACCCCGUAUUCCCGAGAAGUUUCCAGGAGAAGCGCAGCGCAGAAGUCACUCGCUUGGACCACUUUGCGGCUCACGGUGUCCGCAGCCUAGUGUGAGUCCACGGAAAGUUAGGGAUCUCUGCCCUGGUCUCAAACCCCGGGGCUUGGCGCCGAGCCGGGGCAGCGCCCCUCCCCUCGCCGGCCGGAGACGAGCCCCUGACCGCUGCGUCUCCAACUGCGCCUCCCAAAACCGCCGCGUUCGAAUUCGCGCUCGGCCGGCCGGCGGCGGCGGCGUGCGUGCCCGCGGGAGCGCAGGCGGGGCGGGGGCGGCGGGGGCGCCGUCGGGCCGGGACGGAGCUGCAGGGCCCCAUCGCCCACUCUUCGGCCGCCCCGCCCGCGGGACGCGCGGAGCAGGAACUCGCCGAAGUUUGCCAAGCCCCGGCCGAAGUCUCUGACACUGUCACACAGAGAAAAGGGCCGUCGUGUCAACCAAACAAAAAUUGUCAAGUCUGGCAAUUUAAGGACGACCCUGAUGGCACAUCACCCUCCGUCAAGCUGAACUUCAAAACGACAUCUCCCUUCAUUGUCCCAAAGUCCCCUUGUUCCUCCUUCCACAUAGGCAGUUCUCAUACUACCGUUGUUUUUCUUUACAAAUAAAACUGUCCUUCCCCGAUUUACUGUGUAGUGACCAAGCAUCAGAAGUUGUAGCCUUAGCGAUGCCUGGGG